AUUCAUAGAUUCCAGACAUUGUAUAGAAGAACAUUGUGAAACUCCCUGUCCUGUUCUGUUUCUCUCUGACCACCGGUACAUGCAGCCCCUGUCAUGUACCGCCUGCUUGCUCAAAUCAAUCACGACCCUUUCAUGUGAAAUCUUUAGUGUUAUGAGCCCUUAAAAGGGACAGAAAUUGUGCAUUCGGGGAGCUUGGAUUUUAAGGCAGUACCUUGCCAAUGCUCCCAGCUGAAUAAAGCCCUUCCUUCUACAACUAGGUGUCUGAGAGGUUUUGUCUGCGACUCGUCCUGCUACAUUUCUUGGUUCCCUGACCAGGAAGCGAGGUGACUGACGGACGGCCGAGGCAGCCCCUUAGGUGGCUUAAGCCUGCCCUGUGGAGCAUCCCUGAGGGGGACUCUGGCCAGCCUGAGUGAUGUGGUCCGAAGAGCGCUUGGGUAGGAAAUUGCCCCUGUGGAAUGCCUCGUCAGAGCAGCGCAUAGCAGGCCCCCACGGAGGAUUAACACAGUGGCUGAACACUGGGAAGGAACUGGCCCUUGGAGUCCAGACAUCUGAAACUUGAUGCAGAAAGCAAUAUUUAACUGAUCAGCUGCCACUCACAUCAUGAAUCAGAAGCAGCCUUAAAAGAAAGGAUCCCUUCUUGCUAUUUUGAAGGGAAAUAACUGAGUCCUUUGGAGCUGAAAAUGAAAAACUGAGUAGCUGGUGGAAGAAGCGAGAUGGGUUUGGAACUCACAGGCUAUGUUUCUGGAUGCAUCACAUUUGCAAGAGGGAAGUUUUGGUGUCCCUGUGGGUAUAUUAGCACUCCUUUACUCCAUUUCUCUGUAGCUACUCAAGCAAGUGACAAGUAAGUAUGUUGAGACCACAUGUGACAUAUAAAUUACAAGUUCUCCUGCCCCUCUAAAAGUUUAUUCAGCAUCAACCUUUGCACCAACACACUAAGGCAUAAUAGCUGAUAAUUUAUGAGUGUAAUUUGAAGGAAGCAAUUCUGUUUUGUGAUUAUGGUAGUAAAUAAAAGAUUCAAAUCCUCAUUGACACACCAUGAAAUUCAGCUUUACUUUUUUUUUUUUAACCUUGAUAUUGUUUAUGGAAAGAAGGCUGCAGAGUCCAAGAAAGGUGACAGAUAUGAAGAAAUGCAGUGGUUGCAAAGGACAAAGACAAUGGCAACACAAAUAAAAGAAAUUAUGAGAAGGAAAUAAAUAUUAAAAAAAAAACCCAAACGUUUGUUGAUGUAAACUGAAAAUAAAUUUGGAAUGAGCUGUGUGCACUUGGAAAUGAGAAGCUCUGUCCUGCACCAUGAAGGGCUUUGUGUGCAUCCAUGGGUUGCUUCUGCAUGCAGAAUGAGACUGGAACAAAAAAGAACCAUUUAAAACACAGGAUCCAGGGAAUUUUCAGAACCUUGCCAUGUGGGUCUCUCCAUAUGGCUGCUUAAGCAUCCUCAUGACACGUCAGCUGGUCUCCCCAGUGGGAGUGAUCGAAGAGACAGAAGCAAGAAUGUCUUCAAUGACCUACCCUUGUAAGUCACAUACCUCACUUUCACCUAAUCCUCAAAAGGAGAGAGUUAGACUCCACCUUUUGGAGGCAAGAAUGUCAAAGAAUUUGUGGACAUAUUUCAAAACCAUCACUGGAUCAUAUAUGUGAAAAUAAACACUUACAAAAAAUAAAGUGCUAUAAAUGGGAUACAUUCAGAUAAGGAACCCUUCUUUCAAUGCCAUCCCAGAA
rnacentral:lncRNA from 1 species